rnacentral:rRNA from 1 species
AGUGAACGCUGGCGGUAGGCCUAACACAUGCAAGUCGAACGGCAGCACAGUAAGAGCUUGCUCUUACGGGUGGCGAGUGGCGGACGGGUGAGGAAUACAUCGGAAUCUACUUUUUCGUGGGGGAUAACGUAGGGAAACUUACGCUAAUACCGCAUACGACCUACGGGUGAAAGCAGGGGAUCUUCGGACCUUGCGCGAUUGAAUGAGCCGAUGUCGGAUUAGCUAGUUGGCGGGGUAAAGGCCCACCAAGGCGACGAUCCGUAGCUGGUCUGAGAGGAUGAUCAGCCACACUGGAACUGAGACACGGUCCAGACUCCUACGGGAGGCAGCAGUGGGGAAUAUUGGACAAUGGGCGCAAGCCUGAUCCAGCUAUACCGCGUGGGUGAAGAAGGCCUUCGGGUUGUAAGGCCCUUUUGUUGGGAAAGAAAAGCAGCAGGUUAAUACCCCGCUGUUCUGACGGUACCCAAAGAAUAAGCACCGGCUAACUUCGUG